rnacentral:lncRNA from 1 species
AAGCACUAAAGUGCUGCAACAAUCCUCAGAAGAUUCCACUACUGAGAUGAAUUCACAUCCCCUGCACCACUCACCACAGAAGUGCUGACAGCCAUCACAUUGCAGUGACAACAGUGGGUCUGGAAAUUUUUCAGCACCUCACAUGAAGCAUUCAGCAUACUUUGUCCUAAGAACAUCCAAGUCAACCUUUGGAGAGAAGAUGUUGAAGUGUAGUUUGGCAUGAGUGGACUUCAUAAGUUCACUUCCCACCUAAGGGUGUUCCAGCCUAACCAUAAAAGGUGCUCUAUCUGCCAGCGUGUGGAUCUGAAGCUUCGGUGAAGUUACUUGUACAAGUGAGAAAUGUUUG